ACAGGUGUGAGGUGGUAUCUGUAGUUUUGAUUUGCGUUUCCCUAACAACUAGUGAAGUUGAGCCUCUACUCAUAUAUCUAUUGGCAACUUAUUAAGUCUUCUUGGGAGAAAUGUCUGUC